ensembl:processed_transcript
GGCUGUUUCAAUAUGGUCUGUUUGAUGAAAUACACAUUGAGAUUCAUAAAGAGCAGCUAAGCCUAGAAAGAUAAUGGAGGCAUAACUAUCCAUAUAUUCAAAGGGAUUCAAAUUCACGCUACAAGUUCAUCAUGUGAAAAUCCUUAAAAAAUCUCCUUCAGUUGUAGAUUCCAUGGUCUCCCAGUCAUGAAAACAUAAUGAAUUUGACAAUCAAAGUUAAUCCAGCAAAGACAGUGAGCAGGAUUGUACAAGGAAAGAGUGGAAUCACAGAACUCCCAUCAGGAAAAUAAACCCAGAACAUUUAGUUACCAAUGUGGAAUCUGUGGCAUAGACAAGUGAAGAAUUUCUUCUAUAUUCAUUUGGAGGUAAAUAAAAGAAUAAAUGAAUACACUCAAUCUUCCUAUCCAUAUAACAAAAAAAUAGAAUUAUUUUAUUUAUGUUGACUCUAUAUUUGGAUUUGAAAAAUGUGAAAAUAGAAAAGGCACCCUUUGAGAAGAGAAAACGAACAGUGGGAAGAGGGAACAAUGAACAGUGAGUGACUGUACAUCGUCAGAGUACCAUAUAAAAUAUUUGAAAAUAUCACAAUAAAACUCAUUUUUCUGCAACUG